rnacentral:rRNA from 1 species
GUGCCAGCCGCCGCGGUAAUACAGAGGGUGCGAACGUUGCUCGGAAUUACUGGGCGUAAAGCGCGUGUAGGCGGUCCGUUAAGUUGGUAGUGAAAUCCCAUGGCUCAACCAUGGAAGUGCUGCCAAAACUGGCGGGCUGGAGUGCCGGAGAGGGUGGCGGAAUUCCCAGUGUAGAGGUGAAAUUCGUAGAUAUUGGGAGGAACACCGGUGGCGAAGGCGGCCACCUGGACGGUAACUGACGCUAAGACGCGAAAGCGUGGGGAGCAAACAGGAUUAGAAACCCCCGUAGUCC